rnacentral:lncRNA from 13 species
GAGUGCCAGUAUGAUCAGCCUCUGCUGAGGACUGCCUUCAGGGGUGCAGACUGCAGACUUCUCAUUCAGUGUCUAAAGAAACAGCAGUAUCAGCCACCUUCACAGUUCAGCUUUCUGUAGUGGCAAAAUCAGGUGAGAGGUAGGUACAACAUUCAAUUUUGUUCUGUAUCACAUACAAGCCCCCAACCUGAGGAAAAAGGAGAUAU